rnacentral:rRNA from 1 species
GACGAACGCUGGCGGCGUGCCUAAUACAUGCAAGUCGAGCGGACCUCUUUGGAGGUCAGCGGCGGACGGGUGAGUAACACGUGGGCAACCUGCCUGUAAGACUGGGAUAACACCGGGAAACCGGUGCUAAUACCGGAUAAUCCUUACUGACACAUGUCGGUAAGCUGAAAGACGGCAUCUCGCUGUCACUUACAGAUGGGCCCGCGGCGCAUUAGCGAGUUGGUGGGGUAACGGCCCACCAAGGCGACGAUGCGUAGCCGACCUGAGAGGGUGAUCGGCCACACUGGGACUGAGACACGGCCCAGACUCCUACGGGAGGCAGCAGUAGGGAAUCUUCCGCAAUGGACGAAAGUCUGACGGAGCAACGCCGCGUGAGCGAAGAAGGCCUUCGGGUCGUAAAGCUCUGUUGUCAGGGAAGAACAAGUACGAGAGUAACUGCUCGUACCUUGACGGUACCUGACCAGAAAGCCACGGCUAACUACGUGCCAGCCGCCGCUGUAACAC